rnacentral:misc_RNA from 1 species
AAGUCGUAACAAGGUUUCCGUAGGUGAACCUGCGGAAGGAUCAUUAAUACGCUUUUGUUUGUAACAAAACAAAACGUUUUAAACUCCAAAAGAAAUAGUGGAAAUAUAACUUCCGGAUGCGAAUGUUGGGAACUGAGUAAAAUCGGUUCUUUGAAAAAGGGACUUCAAGCAAUUGACACUUCAGAGUAGAGCAGUGAGGUGAAAUUCUCGUUUUCGAGCGAGAGUUUGGUUCUGAAAAACAUUUGUAUCCGGUUAUCAUAAUCUGUUCUACAACACAAAAUAUCAAACAAUAAACCCCAUGUACAACAACUUGAACUAAACAUUUUUUUGUUGUCUGCUCGCCCUUGUGUGAGAAGAUGCUACAAAGAAAAAACCUGAACUUAAGAACAACUCUUAACAACGGAUAUCUUGGUUCUC